AUUGAACGCUGGCGGCAUGCCUUACACAUGCAAGUCGAACGGUAACGGGCCUUCGGGUGCCGACGAGUGGCGAACGGGUGAGUAAUACAUCGGAACGUGCCCGAUCGUGGGGGAUAACGAGGCGAAAGCUUUGCUAAUACCGCAUACGAUCUACGGAUGAAAGCAGGGGACCGCAAGGCCUUGCGCGGACGGAGCGGCCGAUGGCAGAUUAGGUAGUUGGUGGGAUAAAAGCUUACCAAGCCGACGAUCUGUAGCUGGUCUGAGAGGAUGAUCAGCCACACGGGGACUGAGACACGGCCCAGACUCCUACGGGAGGCAGCGGGGGGGAAUUUUGGAAAAUGGGCGAAAGCCUGAUCCAGCCAUGCCGCGGGAAGGAUGAAGGCCUUCGGGUUGUAAACUGUUUUUGUACGGAACGAAAAGCCUUCUUUUAAUAAGGGAGGGUCAUGACGGUACCGAAAGAAUAAGCACCGGCUAACUACGU
rnacentral:rRNA from 1 species